UGCCACAGCCAUUUAUCCAUGCAGCUCAAGACCGGUUACUCACUGAAGCUAAGCAGGGCUGAGCCUGGUCAGUAACUGGAUGGGAGACCACAUGGGAAAAACUAGGUUGCUGUUGGAA
ensembl:rRNA 5S_rRNA 5S ribosomal RNA